rnacentral:rRNA from 1 species
GACGAACGCUGGCGGCGUGCCUAACACAUGCAAGUCGAACGGAGUUCCUUGGAUAGAGGCUUCGGCCAAUUGAAUUGGAACUUAGUGGCGGACUGGUGAGUAACGCGUGAGGAACCUGCCUUUCAGAGGGGGACAACAGUUGGAAACGACUGCUAAUACCGCAUGAUACAUGAUGGGGGCAUCCCUGACAUGUCAAAGAUUUUAUCGCUGAAAGAUGGCCUCGCGUCUGAUUAGAUAGUUGGUGAGGUAACGGCUCACCAAGUCUGCGAUCAGUAGCCGGUCUGAGAGGAUGAACGGCCACAUUGGGACUGAGAUACGGCCCAGACUCCUACGGGAGGCAGCAGUGGGAAUAUUGCGCAAUGGGGGCAACCCUGACGCAGCAACGCCGCGUGAAGGAUGAAGGUCUUCGGAUCGUAAACUUUGUCUUAUGGGAAGAACAAGGACGGUACCAUAGGAGGAAGCCACGGCUAACU